CAGACAAGGAUUUAUUAGAUAUAUUUUACAGGGGCUCGUGCGUCAACGAAAAAGUCAUUUGUUUGUGAUCGAACAACACAGGAGGAGUGCAUGUUUUUGCGUGCAGGCCGAUAACCUUUUUGAGCUGGAGCACAGCUGCUUCACAAGCCGUCAGAGGAGAAUCUAUUAACUACGGCCACACUGAUGGAAAGGCUAUUCUCAAUACUGUUGCCCUCAGAGUCUCUAGGAAUAUAGCAGUCAAAAGUGCAAAAGAGACUCUUCUUCAUGCUGAUGAAGAGAGGAGCUCUCAGGAAACACAUAAGAGGAUAUCAAAUCUCUCGCCAGCUCUCCUGGACCACACUGUUCCUCUCUGAGGGUGGGGGGUGCUCUUCAAAGCACUUCUGUUCUGUCUUGUAACUGAAAUAAUUGCCUGUGCUGUUUAUGAGUAGACUGAAUGAAAGCUACAAUGGAGAUAUGGUUCAGGGAAAUGGCAGUCAAAGGAAAGUUUUUAUGGGUGUGUGUGUGUGUGCUGAAUGGAGCUGCUGUCAUUCUCUUCAUAUCUCUGUUUUUAUGAAAAAUUAUAAUCUAAUAUAAUGAUUAUAUAAAUCAAAA